rnacentral:rRNA from 1 species
GAUGAACGCUGGCGGCGUGCCUAAUACAUGCAAGUCGAGCGAACAGACGAGUAGCUUGCUCCUCUGACGUUAGCGGCGGACGGGUGAGUAACACGUGGAUAACCUACCUAUAAGACUGGGAUAACUUCGGGAAACCGGAGCUAAUACCGUAUAAUAUAUUGAACUGCAUGGUUCAAUAGUCAAAGACGGUUUUGCUGUCACUUAUACAUGGAUCCGCGCCGCAUUAGCUAGUUGGUAAGGUAACGGCUUAACAAGGCAACGAUGCGUAGCAGACCUGAGAGGGUGAUCGGCCACACUGGAACUGAGGCACGGUCCAGACUCCGACGGGAGGCAGCAGUAGGGAAUCUUACGCAAUGGGCGAAAGCCUGACAGAGCAACGCCGCGUGAGUGAUGAAGGUCUUCGGAUCGUAAAACUCUGUUAUUAGGGAAGAACAAAUGUGUAAGUAACUAUGCACGUCUUGACGGUACCUAAUCAGAAAGCCACGGCUAACUACGUG